GUCUUCAUUUUGCAAAUCAUAAUCCCUGCUCCUAGGCUGUGUGUGUGGUGAGGUGAGGGGGAGGUGGAUAUGAAUAUGUAUGGACAGGAUUGGGUGAGGAUGGGCCCCAGAUUUAAACAACAAAGGGCACUCUUUCUGCGAAGUUCUACAGUCAGCAAUUCUAUUAGGAGUAUCCCAUUUGACUCCAGAUUUCAUUCUGCAAGACAACUGAUUGACUUAUUUUCUCCUAAUCUAAUUGGUCACUAAAUUCUUCCAAUUCUUUGAUUUUUGAACCUCAAUUACAGCUGACCCUUAAACAACACUGGUUCAAACUGCAUGAGUCCACUUAUAUGUAGAUUUUCUUCCAUCUCUGCAACCCCAGACAGCAAGCCCUCCACUUCCUCUUCACCUUAUUCAAUGUGAAGAUGACAAGGAUGAAGAUGUUUAUGAUGAUCUGCGUCCAUUCAAUACACAGUGUUUUCUCUUUAUGAUUUUCUUAGUAUUUUCAUUUUAUUGCUUAUUUUAUUGUAAGAAUACAGUAUAUAAUACAUAUAACAUGUAAAAUAUGUGUUAACUGUUUAUGUUAUUAGUAAGGCUUUUGGUCAACAUUAGGCUAUUAGUAGUUUUUAGGGAGCCAAAGGUUAUAUUCAAAGUUCCUAUUGUGUUGGGGUUGGGGGAGUCAGUGCCCCUAACCUCCACAUUGUUCAAGGGUCAACUAUACCUGUAAAAUAAAGCAUUGUGCUAAAUCAUCCUUAUGAUCCAUUUCCAGUUAUAACGUUCUAUCCUAUUUUGGAAUAUUCAGAAUAAAUUAUGUCAUACUUAUUAAACCUUGUCAAAUGGUCUGAAUGUUUGCGUUCCCCCAAAAUUUAUGUUAAAAUCCCAACCCCAAUGUCAUGGUAUUAGGAGGCGAGGUCUUUUGUGAGGUAAUUGGGUCAUGAAGGCAGUGAAUGGGAUUAAUGCCCUUGUAAAAGUGGCCCAAGAGCGCUCCCUCACCCUUUCCACCAUAUGAGGUUAUACUAAAAAGACUGCUGGCUAUAAAUAAGAAGUGGGCCCUCACCAGAUACCAAAUCUUCUGGCAUCACGAUCUUCCCAGGCCCCAGAACUGAGAAAAAUUUUUAAGUCACUCAGUCUGUGAUAUUCUGUUAUGGCAGCCCGAAAGGACUAAGACACCUCACUCUAACAUUAAAAAGAUCUAUGUUAGGGGUCUUCAAACUACUAUCCACAGGCUUCAAGCCACCUAAUUUGUAAAGUUUUACUGGAACAGAGCCACAUCUAUUCAAUUUAAAUAUUAAAUAUGUAGCUUUCACUAUGACAACAGAGUUGAAUGGCCUGUAACUUGUAUCUUGCCAGAGUCUGUAUGGCCUGUAACUAGUAUCUGGCCCUUUACAGAAAACGUUAGCCAACCUCUGAUCUAGGCUAAGAACUUGAUAGUAGGUACUAUUAAAGUUAUUGCUAACUUUAUACAUGUUUGUAAUAAUUAUAAAUAGUCUCACAAAUCAUUUUCCAAAACUUCUAUUUGCAGAGAAUUGUUUUCUUCCUUGCUCCUAAAUCACAGAGGAGAUAGUCCAUAACCAGUGAGCUGGGCCAGAAGCUAAGUACUUUUAUCCCUCUUCCCAAACUGGAAAUAAUGCUUUUCUUUGGCUACCUAACAGUGCAGUGGCAAAAGGUUCAGAUUCGGUUUUCAGGCUCAGAGUAGAAUGAGCAAAAACCAAUGACAUUUCCACUUUUCCAACUAUAAUGCUGAAAAAAAUAGCUGCUGCACUGUAUCUUUUAAGAGUGUUGUGGAUACCAGCUAUUGUGGGUUUGUUCAACUCCCAACCCCUGGCAACUCAGAAUAUGACUUUAACUGGAGAUAGACUCUUUACAGAGGUGCCACGCCAAAAAUUAUACCUCUCAUCCACAAAUCUUAGAGUUGCAUCAUGUACAAAUACUUGGUUUCUGAAGAAUUCUGGACUGCAAGUUAAAGAAAAUGAGGAAGUUGAGGCUCAGAGAGCAAAUAAACUUCAAAAGAUCAUGGAGGUGCUAAGAGAGGUUACCAUACCAGAUAAAAUAAGAAGUUCAAUGAUUUCUGCAUCUCCAAGG
rnacentral:lncRNA from 1 species